GAGACACCGGCAUCCUGUGACGCUAUCCCGGCCCCACAAGGCAUUGCAAACCCUUCCCAAAGCGCCCUGCGGCCAGUUGCACAGCUACUCACCAUGCAUUGCUCUCUGUGUCCAUCCAGGAGUCUAGCCUGGAAGU